GAAGCCUAGAGGCAGCAGGGACGACGCUGUUGCUCACUUUCGACUCAUGGAACUAUGUCCUCAUGGUAACUUAUGGACUGUGAACAACUAACACUACCAAGCAACUACUAGUACCAUCAAACUGCAAAGAAAAUAAUAUGUUUACCGUGAGAGACUUAAUUAAUGGUGCAAGAUCGAAUUGCUCUGGGUGCCUGGUACGUACUAUCCAGCGACUUUGUCUUGAGAUCCCUACUAGUUCGGACAAGGACGUGGUUGGAUGUGACAUGCGUAGAUGGAUUUAGUCUCUCAGUCGGUGAUAAAAACAUCUAAGGAUGGUUUGUCUUUCCCAUCUCGAAUCAGAAA